rnacentral:tRNA from 1 species
AAGAUUUUAAGUUAAUCAAACUAAUAGCCUUCAAAGCUAUAAAUAUAAAUUUUAUUUUUUAAAUCUUA